UACGAAGGGGAGCUAGCGUUGUUCGGAAUCAGCUAGGGGCGUAAAGCGCACGUUAGGCGGAUGUGAUCAGUCAGGGGGUGAAAUCCCGGAGCUCAACUUCGGAACUGGACCUUUGACGUUACAGCACGGUCUUGGAGUCCGAUAAGAUGGGUGGGUGGAAGUUCCGUAGUGAUGAGCGGUGAAAUGACGCAGACUAUCGAAGGAGGAACACCGGUGGCCGAAGGCGGUUCUCUGGGCAUGAUCCUGACGGCUG
rnacentral:rRNA from 1 species